rnacentral:rRNA from 1 species
AUUGAACGCUGGCGGCAGGCCUAACACAUGCAAGUCGAGCGGUAGAGAGAAGCUUGCUUCUCUUGAGAGCGGCGGACGGGUGAGUAAUGCCUAGGAAUCUGCCUGGUAGUGGGGGAUAACGUUCGGAAACGAACGCUAAUACCGCAUACGUCCUACGGGAGAAAGCAGGGGACCUUCGGGCCUUGCGCUAUCAGAUGAGCCUAGGUCGGAUUAGCUAGUUGGUGAGGUAAUGGCUCACCAAGGCGACGAUCCGUAACUGGUCUGAGAGGA